GUGCAAUCCCCAGCUUUUUGUUGGUUUGGUCUCCGCAUCUUCUUUCCGCGCAUACACAGCAAACCAGUUUAAGAAUUAUAAAUCCCUGGAGGCCCACAUCCAAUUCACGAACGGCUGGGUGCAAGAUUUGUCCAUCUUUAUGCCUCCACGCUGCGACAACUGUACGUUGUCGUUAAGACAAAGGUACUGCACUCACAACGACUGAAUGAAACUGCACUGUGACCUCGUUGUGUGGACACAGAGAG